UGAAAGGAUUUUCAUAUUGUUGUAUCGAACGUGUGAUGCGAACAAAGCAAGUACUACAUAUGAGAAAUUAAAUCUGUAGGCUCUCUAUGGUUGAAACACUCUUGAGCUUAAGUAGAAAUUAUUGAUGUUAAAAGCAUGAUAUCUUUAAUUCAAUUAACCAAACCUUUCAAGGUUGUUCUCUGCUCAUUCUACUUCAAGACUAGCAUAUAGGAGGAACCCAGAUCUCAUUUUACAUGAAUACUACUUCAGUUCGUUCACGGCUAGAAGAACCUCGCAAGUAUUAACAUACCACAGGCAAGAAAACGACGGCAAGUCGCAAUAACCUCCAAAGCCGGCAAGGAUGGAAUUGUAAAAUACAUACUAAUAACACCACAAGGCAACGAUUAGAACAGAUUGUACCCGGAUAAUAAAGCAGCAACUAUGAACAGUAGGAUUUUUCUUUCAUUCUCAUAUAGGUGAUUGAGACAUCAAAAUUACAUUAAUCAAGAGCAAGUUAAGAAGAACGGACCUGAGACAAACUUUCCAAAUGCAAUCUGAAAGUGUUUAACUAUAGAAAACUCGGACAGUGACGACAACCUCGACGGAAAACUUCUACCUCGACCAAUCACCACCGAACCAACGAAGCAGCAGUAACACUCAGCUAAAACUCCAUGACCGAACUUGAGUCAAUUUCUAUUAAAAUCAGAAGGAACGAAACUCUAAAAUUCACAUGAACUCCCUAACAAAUCUGAAAAUCAAAAUGACUGAAGGAACUGUAUCUCUGUGUGCUUUCGCGUGUAGGUGUGUGUGUCCGAAUCGUUCUCGAAAAAUCAAAGCGAAAUGAAAGAUAUCACCGUUGAAGGUUCUUUUCUAAUGAAUCUUGAGGUUUGGCUGCUGAAGCUUAGAGAUUAGGGCUGGAAGAUAUGGGGGCCUCGCCGGAGUUAAUGAAAUCCAUCAGAAAACGAAAACUCCGGUCAGAAUCUGAGAGCAACUCUGAUGAGGCAGUAGCCGAAUCCGAUGAAACAACAGUGGUUGCCGGAUCUCUGGCCAAAUCUGUCACCCUCCGUCGCUAGUAGUAAUAGAGAAAGAGGAGGACGGCGGAAAAUGAAUAACAGUGGUUGAGGCUGAUGAUUUUGCCGGUGAUGUCUAUGGGUGUGUGUCUGGUUUUAGAAGGAAUAAGAUAUAACGUUGGGGAGGGGGGGUACUAUGGAAACGACGCUCAGCUAUUUGCAGAGUCUCUGCAUUCUUCCUUUUCAGACCCCUUUUUUUUAGUCUUAGGCGUU
rnacentral:lncRNA from 1 species